UACGAAGGGGGCUAGCGUUGCUCGGAAUUACUGGGCGUAAAGGGAGCGUAGGCGGGUUAUCAAGUUGGAGGUGAAAGCCCAGGGCUCAACCUUGGAAUUGCCUUCAAAACUGAUAGCCUAGAGUAUGAUAGAGGUAUGUGGAACUCCGAGUGUAGAGGUGAAAUUCGUAGAUAUUCGGAAGAACACCAGUGGCGAAGGCGACAUACUGGGUCAUGACGUGACGCUGAGGCUCGAAAGCGUGGGGAGCAAACAGG
rnacentral:rRNA from 1 species